AAUCUGUGGUUGGGGCAUUUUUUAGUCAACAUUUUGAAGCGUUCUCAUGCCUCAUAGAAACUUUCUUCCUCCAUUUGUCUGAAGACAACAAUCUCUCUUCUUAGUUG
rfam:Gossypium raimondii chromosome 13, whole genome shotgun sequence.